rnacentral:rRNA from 1 species
UACGUAGGGUGCAAGCGUUGUCCGGAAUUAUUGGGCGUAAAGAGCUCGUAGGCGGUUUGUCGCGUCGAAUGUGAAAACCCGGGGCUCAACCCCGGGCCUGCAUUCGAUACGGGCAGACUAGAGUUCGGUAGGGGAGUCUGGAAUUCCUGGUGUAGCGGUGAAAUGCGCAGAUAUCAGGAGGAACAUCAGUUGCGAAGGCGGCUCUCUGGACCAGCACUGACACUGAGGCACGAAAGCGUGGGGAGCAAACAGG